CAAUAAUACAAUAAUACAACAUUUUUUGAAAACUUGAUAGAUUAAUAUGUUAAUAAAAUCUACAACAACUUUGAGAUAUUAAAAAAAAGAAUAUAACUUAAAAGAAAAUUGAGAGACACUGAUCUCUCAACUCUGAUCCAAGAGUAAAGUCAAUUUCGAAACAAUAUCUUCUGUUCUCAGUAGAAACCUGGCAUCAAGCACGAAGACAAACCUAAAUUUCACUAUUGCUAACUUGAACAAACGGCAACAUACGUUAAUACUCUGAGGACACAAAGCGAUAUCAAAGUCCGAAAGCUGAACAUUGCUGUACCACAAAGUAGAGUCUUCUGACUUGUCAACUACAGAUUGAGCGCUGUACAUUCCCGGUUGACUUCUAAAGGACUGGCAUACAAUCGCUGGAAGUGGAUACUGUAUUCAGCCAGACGGCUGUCAUCCAGCUGUACCCUGGCGAUUAGCUCCAAUCACAAGAAGAAUCAUUCUCCAUAAUUUUUAUCAGUGAAAAAUCAAAAUCCCUAGGGGAUUCUUAGAUAAAUCUUUCCAAACAACUUACGAUCUUUGAAUCAUACAACUUUUGAAGAUUACUGUAUAUACAUAUAGAUAUGCAAAAUUUAAAGCUCAAGAGUUAUACAGUUCCAUAAUUCCACCCACGCCAAGAAUCAUUUUCAAGUACCACCCUCGCCUAUCACAAUCGCCUACGCAGCAAAUUAAAAUUCUUAAACGAGAAAUUGUACAAAUCUUUCUAAACCGGAAGCGGCAACCACUGUCCAAACGUUCCAUCACGUUGCACUGAAACGAGUGGUUAGUUAACCUUGACGAUGAGACCUUUGAUUACUGUCAAACACUGCCUACGUGUUCAUUACAAGAUUCGAUUUCACGAUGUUAAGAUCAGGAUUAACAACGAAGCAUUUCGAUACAAACUUUUAUCCUAAUGUUAAAAUUUUCGAAGAAAUUUCGAUUUUAUGAUUUUUUCACUAUUCUUAUAAUUUUCCUUACUUAAUUUCGUAAUAUCAAUACAACAAAAUUUCAAGAU